rnacentral:rRNA from 1 species
GAUGAACGCUGGCGGCGUGCCUAAUACAUGCCAGUCGAGCGAACAGAUGAGGAGCUUGCUCCUCUGACGUUAGCGGCGGACGGGUGAGUAACACGUGGAUAACCUACCUAUAAGACUGGGAUAACUUCGGGAAACCGGAGCUAAUACCGGAUAAUAUAUUGAACCGCAUGGUUCAAUAGUGAAAGACGGUUUUGCUGUCACUUAUAGAUGGAUCCGCGCCGCAUUAGCUAGUUGGUAAGGUAACGGCUUACCAAGGCAACGAUGCGUAGCCGACCUGAGAGGGUGAUCGGCCACACUGGAACUGAGACACGGUCCAGACUCCUACGGGAGGCAGCAGUAGGGAAUCUUCCGCAAUGGGCGAAAGCCUGACGGAGCAACGCCGCGUGAGUGAUGAAGGUCUUCGGAUCGUAAAACGCUGUUAUUAGGGAAGAACAAAUGUGUAAGUAACUAUGCACGUCUUGACGGUACCUAAUCAGAAAGCCACGGCUAACUACGU